GCCUAAGCGUGCCCUAGUAACCUUCGCAAAAAGGAAGAGAGGGGUUCCCCUUUUGGCCCUGGCCCAGUGACUUUGCUGUUUCUUCCUUGGAGAGACCUGGCUUUGGGCGAUGGGGGGAUAAGGGGAUUAGAGCAGUGGCUCUCAUAGGGUGGUCUGAGGGGCCCUGUGGGUCCGAAGAUCCUUUCAAAACUAGUUUCAUAGUAAUGGUAGGAUUUCGUUUCCCUUUCUUAACUCUCGCUGAAAUUUUCCAGAGAACUGAUGUGUGAUGACGUCAUCGCUCUCAUGACUAAAGGAAUGUGUGCUUGUAUUGUGUUUUCUAGAAUUUCCUAAGCUUCCAGAAUGUUCCACAUUUGUUGAAAACUACAAACAAACAUAUCCAAGAAUCCCAGUGAAUGCCAAGCAGCAUAAACACAAAGAAAACCACAUCAAGGCACUGCGGAAUCAAAUUUCUCAAAACUAGUGAUGCAGAGAAAAUCUUAAGUUAAGACUAAUCACUGCUUUCUCAUCAAAAACUAUGCAAACCAGAAGAUGGUGGAACAACAUCUCUAAAGCAUGGGAAGAAUGCUUUCAACCCAGAAUUUUAUAUCCAGUGAAAAUGUCCUUCAAAGAUGAAGGCAAAAUGAAGACAUUUCAGAUAAGCGAAAGCCAAGAGCAUUCAUCACUAGUGAACUUGUACCACAAGGAAUGCUAAAAGAAGUUCUUCAGGUUAAAGGAAAAUGAUACCAGAUGGACACAAGAAUCUAUGCAAAGGAAUGAAGAGUACCAGAAAUGUUUUCUGACAUCAGAAGUGGUAUCCAAAGAAGACCCUCAACAACUCUGAGGCCAGUGAGCAACCACGUGCUGGUACCCACUGGGCCCAUUGAGCUCACCACUUUCUUGCCAACCUUGCAGUCAGCCUGAAUGUUGCUCUCUUUGCAUGUUGAGCUCUCGGAAUUUAUUGUGCAUACCCGUAUUCUGUUUGUUGAAGCUUCUUGAAGAAGAAAGGAAAAAGAGGAAGGCAAAACCUUAAUGAAUAUAGAAAGAUGCAAAAGGUUUGUGGAAGAGAAAUUUUAUGUUGUGAGGUCACAGCUGGCUAAAAUUGAAUAGAUUUAUUUACAAGGAUUUUUAAAAUGAGCCCAGUAAUGUACUGAUACAAAACUAGAGUUUAAUUUUCUCUCUGUUAAAAUCACAAAAUUUCUUAGAUUAUGGGUCUGUUCUUAAUAAAAUAUUAUAAAAGGUUUUUCUUUACCUUUAAUGUAAUCUGCCUAGGAAACAAGGAUUCCGUGUCAUGGGAAAUAUUUCCUGUGUUCCACAUUGUCUUUAUCAGAUCUUUAAUUAGGAAAACUGAGUUUUUUCAAUUUUAAGAGCUAAGGUUUUUUACAACUAUAUAACUUCCUAUAUUUGCCUUUGAAAUCUUUCAGUUAUCACUUUGGUGAACAGAUAACUAAGUGUUAUGUCAUAGUGACUUACACUCCUAAUUGAUCAAGGGUUUCAAAUCUUUUGACAUUUUUAACAAACUUCCCCAAAUCAAAUUCUGAAUGAAGUCUUUUUGACCUCAAACUAACUUUGGAAUUUUCCAGAGGGCCCCUGGAAGUUCUGAAAAAAUUUGCUCUUUCUCCUUAUAAAAGAGAAAUCUCAGUUUA